UACGGAGGAUGCGAGCGUUAUCCGGAUUUACUGGGUGUAAAGGGAGCGUAGACGGCACUGCAAGUCUGGAGUGAAAGCCCGAGGCCCAACCACGGGACUGCUCUGGAAACUGCGGGGCUGGAGUGCAGGAGGGGUAAGCGGAAUUCCUAGUGUAGCGGUGAAAUGCGUAGAUAUUAGGAGGAACACCGGUGGCGAAGGCGGCUUACUGGACUGUAACUGACGUUGAGGCUCGAAGGCGUGGGGAGCAAACAGG
rnacentral:rRNA from 1 species